UACGAAGGGGGCUAGCGUUGUUCGGAUUUACUGGGCGUAAAGCGCACGUAGGCGGCUUUUUAAGUCAGAGGUGAAAUCCUGGAGCUCAACUCCAGAACUGCCUUUGAUACUGAGAGGCUUGAGUCCGGGAGAGGUGAGUGGAACUGCGAGUGUAGAGGUGAAAUUCGUAGAUAUUCGCAAGAACACCAGUGGCGAAGGCGGCUCACUGGCCCGGUACUGACGCUGAGGCGCGAAAGCGUGGGGAGCAAACAGG
rnacentral:rRNA from 1 species